AGUGAACGCUGGCGGUAGGCCUAACACAUGCAAGUCGAACGGCAGCACAGUAAGAGCUUGCUCUUACGGGUGGCGAGUGGCGGACGGGUGAGGAAUACAUCGGAAUCUACUUUUUCGUGGGGGAUAACGUAGGGAAACUUACGCUAAUACCGCAUACGACCUACGGGUGAAAGCAGGGGAUCUUCGGACCUUGCGCGAUUGAAUUAGCCGAUGUCGGAUUAGCUAGUUGGCUGGGUAAAGGCCCACCAAGGCGACGAUCCGUAGCUGGUCUGAGAGGAUGAUCAGCCACACUGGAACUGAGACACGGUCCAGACUCCUACGGGAGGCAGCAGUGGGGAAUAUUGGACAAAGGGCGCAAGCCUGAUCCAGCCAUACCGCGUGAGUGAAGAAGGCCUUCGGGUUGUAAAGCCCUUUUGUUGGGAAAGAAAAGCAGCAGGUUAAUACCCCGCUGUUCUGACGGUACCCAAAGAAUAAGCACCGGCUAACUUCGUG
rnacentral:rRNA from 1 species